GAAGGAAUAUAAGGAGCAGACUCGAAAUUCACAAAUUCCUAAGUGUGAGCUAGAGUGUCUGAGCUAGUGAGCCACUCACAAUUGAUUUGAACAGGGUGUUGAAUUUAUGCAGGAGAGAUGCUUUAAGAUAAAAUGGCUGAACUGCUUUUGUUUCUGUUUCAUAAGUUCAAACAACAACCUGCUACAAGAGCAAUAAAGACACUUGACACUUAUUGUUUCUGUGAAUGCAGUCAGAAUGAAGACAGUUCCAUUCAGUAACCUAUUACUUUGCUGUGUUGAGCUGUAAACAAAGAACUUAACUUGCCUGGUUUCUCCCUACAUUGUGUCCUUGUCCUUUUGGUUAAUCUGAGAGGCUGAAGAUUUACAAACGAUCCAUAUGAAGUCUAGCAAACCAUCUCUACAACCGUCAACAGUCUGGUCUUUCCCUUGCUGAAAGCUUCAAUUGAAAGCAGGACUAAGGGCAAGGUGUCUUUCUCAAGAGCCAAGGAGAAUCAGGGCAGCGAUCUUAGAACCAGGACAAAGGGCAAUAUUGGAAAAGAAUGGGCUUCAUGCUCUUGAACUGAGAGUGACAUAUUGGGCGUCAGGCGGUGGGAGAAGAUAAAUUGGCUACAAUUAUGGAAUGGUAGAAUAUUUUUGGAUAAGCAAGUUUAGAAAAAUAUCCAACUGUGACACAGAAAUGCUAACGUUAAUCAGCAUUUUGAACAGACUUAAGGAAAGGAUCUGUAUUAUGGAAUGUUUCCAUAAUCACUGCAGUGUUGAAUCUUUUCGAAGUAAAUGAGCCUAAAAAUCAAAA